rnacentral:rRNA from 1 species
AUGAGCGUCGUCCACGCAGCCGAAGGGACUGGGCGAACCUGGACGCCGGACCGGUGGGGCUGGUCGCCGAGCACCUCCUGCGCAACGACGUCGUCGACCUCGUCCGCCUCCGCGCUGUGUGCAGGUCGUGGCGCGCGAGCUCCGCCCACCUGCGCGCGCAGGGCGUCCUGGACCGACGGUUCCACCCCCGGCGGUGGAUCAUGCUCCCAAAAGAAUUCGACAUCCGCGGCCGGCGACGCUUCCUCAAUGUCUUCACCGGCAAGUCCAUCUACCAGGGGCUCCCGUAUGUAG